rnacentral:rRNA from 1 species
CAAUAGCGUAUAUUAAAGUUGUUGCAGUUAAAAAGCUCGUAGUCGGAUUUCGGGUUUGUCCGCGCGGUCUGCCGUUGGGUAUGCACUGCGUGUGACUUAUCUUUUUCGGGGCAGCGCGCGUUGCUUAAUUGUGGCGUGUGUCUCCUCGCUUUUACUUUGAGAAAAUCAGAGUGUUCAAAGCAGGCCUUUGCCAUUGUAUGUGUUAGCAUGGGAUAAUGGAAUAGGACUCUGGUGCUAUUUUGUUGGUUUCGAACGCCGGGGUAAUGAUUAAUAGGGAUAGUCAGGGGCACUCGUAUUCCGUAGAGAGAGGUGAAAUUCUUAGACCCACGGAAGACGCACUACUGCGAAAGCAUUUGCCAGGGAUGUUUUCACUG